rnacentral:rRNA from 1 species
AGGAGGCAUCGUUCAAAGGGUGGUACGGGUAUGCUCUGUAUCAAGCGCUCCAGGAUGGGACUGCGGCCGAUCAGGCUGUUGGCGGGGUAAUGGCCCACCAAACCUGUAACCGGUACGGGCUUUGAGAGAAGGAGCCCGGAGAUGGACACUGAGACAAGGUUCCAGGCCCUACGGGGCGCAUCAGGCGCGGAAACUUCGCAAUGCGCGAAAGCGUGACGAGGCUAAUCCGAGUGCCGUCCGCUGAGGAUGGCUUUUCUCGGCUGUAAAAAGGCAGGGGAAUAAGGGGAGGGCAAGUCUGGUGUCAGCCGCCGCGGUAAUACCAGCUCCUCGAGUGGUCAGGACGAUUAUUGGGCCUAAAGCACCCGUAGCCGGUUCCGUAAGUCCUCUGUUAAAUCCAACCGCCCAACGGUUGAGCUGCAGAGGAUACUGCGGGACUAGGAGGCGGGAGAGGCGGACGGUACUCCGCGGGUAGGGGUAAAAUCCUUUGAUCCGCGGAAGACCACCAGUGGCGAAGGCGGUCCGCCAGAACGCGCUCGACGGUGAGGGGUGAAAGCUGGGGGAGCGAACCGGAUUAGAUACCCGGGUAGUCCCAGCCGUAAACGAUGCGAGCUAGAUGAUUCAUUCGCAGUUCGCGAAUGAAGUGUCGCAGGGAAGCCGUUA